GACCCUUGCAACCGCAGCUAUAAAAAGUACCUACGCAGGUCUCGCGAUUGUAAAAGAUUGCUGCAGAGAAGUUUGGGAGGAACAGGGUUACAGUAGAAGCCAGUUUUUGCCUUUUUUCCAAUCCCUGUUCUUGCUUGUCCUGGCCCCGCUCCUUGGACUUGGAUUUCGAUUUCUUCCUGACCAUGAGUGGCAAUUGCCAAGUAAAAAGCUGCGAGGGUUGAAGCGAGCACGGCAAGAUCUGUUGGUUGUUGCAGGAGGCUUGCCACAGGAAGGAAAGGAGGUGCCGCUUGCGGACUGUCCUGCUUGUCCUCUCACAAGACGACUCCAAGCCGAGAAAUCUUCGCCCAAAUUCUCGCUCCCCCGCUCUCAAUUAGCGUGCAUGGGCGCAGGAAAGGCGGCGCCUUGAGCUGCUGCUGCGUCAGGGGGGGCGAAUGGAUGCAGAGAGCGGCCGCGGCGCCGCGGGUGCGCGCAAGAAGGUGGGAGUGAGCCCGGCCGGUCGCCUUUUUUUCUCUCGGGUUCCGUCUGAAAGAUUCGAUUUUCUUUUUUGUUCUU
rnacentral:misc_RNA from 1 species